GGAUGCGAUCAUACCAGCACUAAAGCACCGGAUCCCAUCAGAACUCCGCAGUUAAGCGUGCUUGGGCGAGAGUAGGGGUGGAAACGAGCCGAGCUCGAGCGAGCUUAUGUC
rnacentral:rRNA from 1 species